rnacentral:rRNA from 1 species
AUUGAACGCUGGCGGCAGGCCUAACACAUGCAAGUCGAGCGGAUGAAGGGAGCUUGCUCCUGGAUUCAGCGGCGGACGGGCGAGUAAUGCCUAGGAAUCUGCCUGGCAGUGGGGGCUAACGUCCGGAAACGGGCGCUAAUACCGCAUACGUCCAGAGGGAGAACGGCGGGGAUCUUCGGACCUCACGCUUUUAGAUGACCCUAGGUCGGAUUAGCUAGUUGGUGGGGUAAAGGCCUACCAAGGCGACGAUCCGUAACUGAUCUGAGAGGAUGAUCAGCCACACUGGAACUGAGACACGGUCCAGACUCCUACGGGAGGCAGCAGUGGGGAAUAUUGGACAAUGGGCGAAAGCCUGAUCCAGCCAUGCCGCGUGUGUGAAGAAGGUCUUCGGAUUGUAAAGCACUUUAAGUUGGGAAGAAGAGCAGUAAGUUAAUACCUUGCUGUUUUGACGGUACCAACAGAAUAAGCACCGGCUAACUUCGUG